rnacentral:rRNA from 1 species
UGGGGAAUAUUGGACAAUGGGCGAAAGCCUGAUCCAGCCAUGCCGCGUGUGUGAAGAAGGUCUUCGGAUUGUAAAGCACUUUAAGUUGGGAGGAAGGGCAGUAAGCGAAUACCUUGCUGUUUUGACGUUACCGACGGAAUAAGCACCGGCUAACUCUGUGCCAGCAGCCGCGGUAAUACAGAGGGUGCAAGCGUUAAUCGGAAUUACUGGGCGUAAAGCGCGCGUAGGUGGUUCGUUAAGUUGAAUGUGAAAGCCCCGGGCUCAACCUGGGAACUGCAUCCAAAACUGGCGAGCUAGAGUAGGGCAGAGGGUGGUGGAAUUUCCUGUGUAGCGGUGAAAUGCGUAGAUAUAGGAAGGAACACCAGUGGCGAAGGCGACCACCUGGGCUCAUACUGACACUGAGGUGCGAAAGCGUGGGGAGCAAACAGG